AUGGUCAAGGAUUUGAAGGUGAUAUUUGGAAAGGGUCCUGGCGGACAAUCCGUUCCAAAGGACGCUGACGGACGCGCACCCAUAUGGAAGAAGAAAUCUAUAUUUUGGGACCUGCCAUAUUGGAAAGACCUAGAGGUCCGCUUCGCAAUCGACGUGAUGCACGUGACGAAGAAUCUUUGCGUGACCCUGCUUGGCUUCUUGGGCGUGUAUGGGAAGACAAAAGAUACACCUGAGACACGGGAGGACCAGCAACGUAUGCACGGAGAAGACGGCAUACAUCAGGGUCAUGCAAGCUACGCUCUUACCAAAGAAGAGAAGGAAAUCUUCUUUGAAUGCCUGCUCAGUAUUAAGGUACCGUCUGGCUUCUCGUCGAAUAUAAAGGGAAUAAUAAACAUGACAGAGAAAAAGUUCCAGAACCUAAAGUCUCAUGACUGCCACGUGAUUAUGACGCAACUGCUUCCGGUUGCAUUGAGGGGGCUUCUACCGGAAAACGUUCGAUUAGCCAUUGUGAAGCUAUGUGCAUUUCUCAAUGCAAUCUCUCAGAAGGUAAUCGAUCCAGAAAUCAUACCAAGGUUACAGAAUGAUUUGGUGCAAUGUCUUGUUAGUUUCGAGUUGGUGUUCCCACCAUCCUUCUUCAACAUCAUGACACACGUCCUAGUUCACCUGUGCCAAGAGAUUAACAUUUUGAGUCAUGUAUUUCUACACAAUAUGUUUCCCUUUGAGAGGUUCAUGGGAGUCUUAAAGAAAUAUGUUCAUAACCGUGCUAGGCCAGAAGGAAGCAUCUCCAAGGGCCAUCAAAAUGAGGAGGUCAUUGAGUUUUGUAUUGACUUUAUUCCUGACCUUAAGCCGAUUGGUGUUCCUAAAUCGCUGCAUAAGGGCAGACUGGAUGGAAAAGGCACGCUAGGAGGGGAACAAAUAAUAUGUAUGGACGGACAUUCUCUCACUGAAGCACACUACACAGUUCUACAGAAUUCCACCUUGGUGGCUCUGUAUAUGGAUAAACACAAGAAUUUGCUACGCUCCAAACAUUCGGAGCGGUCUGAUGACUGGAUUACACGUGAACAAACUAGGAGUUUCGCCAGCUGGUUGCAGACACGUACCAUGCAUGACACCUCUAUUGAAGAUGACUUGUACUUGCUGUCUCAAUUACCAUCUUCGAAUAUAAUAACUUUCAAAGGGUACGAGAUAAAUGGUAAUACAUUUUACACGAUCACCCAAGAUAAGAAGAGCACCAACCAAAACAGUGGUGUCCGCUUUGAUGCAGAAACCAAGACGGGAAAGGAAACAUAUUAUGGUUAUAUAUAG
rnacentral:rRNA from 1 species